UUUCAGUCUUCACCAUCACCACUUAACAGUUGUGUUUUACUCCAGUUUUUGUGUCUUUCUCUAGUUGUCGCAGCUCCAACACGUUUUAAGAUAUAUUUGGCUUGGAGAUGGUGAGGACUAUAUUUCACUUUUGCAAUGGUGUACCCCUAGAGGGGGCAGGGAAGCAGGUCAGGUUGCUGGUGUUGUCGUUUAAGCCUGCUGAGAUGUAUGCAGCCACUGAAACAAAGGGGAAGUGAUCCAUCUCAAUAUAUUUUGGUUGUCAUUAUGCAUUACAGGAAUGGGCGGCCUGUCAUGCACCAGCUUUAAAUUAUAAAAUUGUUGGAAGGCAUGAUCCUGCUUUUGGAAUGAUUCUAUCAUCAGUUGUGUCUAAAUUGCUAGCA